UACAGAGGGUGCAAGCGUUGUUCGGAUUUACUGGGCGUAAAGCGCGUGUAGGCGGUGGCGUAAGUCGGGUGUGAAAUCCCUCGGCUUAACCGAGGACGUGCACCCGAUACUGUGCCACUUGAGUACCGGAGGGGAUGGCGGAAUUCCCGGUGUAGAGGUGAAAUUCGUAGAUAUCGGGAGGAACACCUGUGGCGAAGGCGGCCAUCUGGACGGUAACUGACGCUGAGACGCGAAAGCGUGGGUAGCAAACAGG
rnacentral:rRNA from 1 species